UUUCCGAGCUGAUCACUCUAAGCAGGAAUAGAGCGUGUUUGUGUCACCCCUGAAUCCCUGGAAUCCUGCGGCAGACCGGAUUCUGGGUCACGCUCAGAAUUCCAGCCCUGCGGAAUGUUGUUUGUAGAGCUGUCACGAGUGGAAUUAACCAGGCAGUAGGGGCGUCCCGUCUCCCAAUCACAACACCUGCCUAACAACAUGCCACAGAUAUCUGUGUCAUUACCGCAAUGAGACCAAGAAGGAAUGUGAACAUAAACACAGCCAUCCGCCACCCGGCAACCCUGUCAGACCUGUGUGUGCACUGUGGGAAACGCAUGACGACUGACACAAACAAGAUCAACACCACAAGCUCCAGGCUUAACACAGAGACCCUCAUCAUCUCCACCCUCGAGAAAAAGAACCGCACUUAGUUGUGUUGUACUUACAGAUAACAUUCAUGAAAUAAAAGUCCACUUAAGUUCA